UGAGUUUGAUCAUAGAAUGAGUAAACAUGUUGAUGGUCACAAUAGUCACAAACAGCUGCUUUACUAAAUUCUGCUGGGGUGAAAUUCAGUGCAGUCAUGUAUCGUGAUACAUAUUGUAUCGUGACUUUGCUGGUGAUACACAGCCCUAAAGGACACAUUUAUAGGAAACUACAAAACUUAUCUGUAUAAACGAAGAACGUCUGGCAACGCCCAUGUUUCAGCUGCAGCCAUUAAUGACCGCUGUUCUCAGAGUGAUGCCCUGCUGGUCCGGUCCUGCUCAGCCUAAUGGACUGGCCCUGACCUGGUUUCUCCAGACCCAUAUUCUUCUGGGAAAAUGCUUCAUCUGGCAGGACUCAAUCCUACGCAGCUGCAGCCAGCUUAUGAGCAAAUCUCAAAUCAUAUACAAAACCUUUGGUACAGGUUAAACAUACAUACAUGGAAUGACAUGAGGAUGUGCACUGGCCCCCUCCUGCUUGUCAUA
ensembl:lncRNA